AUUAUAUAUUGGCAAACUAUUUGAAAGAAUAGGGCGCAAAACUAGAGGGGCUAAUUCUAUUUUGUAGAGAUGCCAGCCAGUUGCACGA
rnacentral:ncRNA from 1 species